CAGCCGUAAACUAUGCGCGUUAGGUGUAUCGGUGACCACGAGUCACCGAGGUGCCGAAGGGAAACCGUGAAACGUGCCGCCUGGGAAGUACGGUCGCAAGGCUGAAACUUAAAGGAAUUGGCGGGGGAGCACAACAACGGGUGGAGCCUGCGGUUUAAUUGGACUCAACGCCGGACAACUCACCGGGACGACAGCAAUAUGUAGGCCAGGCUGAAGACCUUGCCUGAAUCGCUGAGAGGAGGUGCAUGGCGUAGACGU
rnacentral:rRNA from 1 species